UACGGAGGGUGCAAGCGUUAUCCGGAUUCACUGGGUUUAAAGGGUGCGUAGGCGGCCUAUUAAGUCAGGGGUGAAAGACGGUGGCUCAACCAUCGCAGUGCCUUUGAUACUGAUAGGCUUGAAUACACUAGAGGUAGGCGGAAUGUGACAAGUAGCGGUGAAAUGCAUAGAUAUGUCACAGAACACCGAUUGCGAAGGCAGCUUACUAUGGUGUCAUUGACGCUGAGGCACGAAAGCGUGGGGAUCAAACAGGG
rnacentral:rRNA from 1 species